rnacentral:rRNA from 1 species
UAGCGAAGGGGGCUAGCGUUGCUCGGAAUGACUGGGCGUAAAGGGCGCGUAGGCGGAUGGCACAGUCAGAUGUGAAAUUCCCGGGCUUAACCGUGGGGGCUGCAUUUGAUACGUGUGAUCUGGAGUGAGGAAGAGGGUCGUGGAAUUCCCAGUGUAGAGGUGAAAUUCGUAGAUAUUGGGAAGAACACCGGUGGCGAAGGCGGCGACCUGGUCCGAUACUGACGCUGAGGCGCGAAAGCGUGGGGAGCAAACAGG